CUGGUUUCCUUCACCGCUUGGUUCUAAUUAUGUGCCGCUAACGAGGCAGGAGGUGCCGAGGUGGCCGCUGAGGGAGAGGGAAACUUCACGUUCAGCCAAGCCAGAGAUGAGCCAGUGGAAGGCGAGGCACCAGAGGAAGCCUGGCAGACAGCAUCAAGAAAAGAUACAGUGGUAAUCUUGAUCCAGGCUGUCAGCUUGGCUGCGCUGGUGGGCUAGCUCUGUGGAGGCAGGUUUGCUUCCUGGCUGAAUGCAUUGGCUCC